rnacentral:rRNA from 1 species
UACGUAGGGGGCUAGCGUUUUCCGGAUUUAUUGGGCGUAAAGAGCGUGUAGGCGGCCAGGUAGGUCUGGUGUGAAAACUCGAGGCUUAACCUCGAGAUGUCAUCGGAAACCAUCUGGCUAGAGUCCGGAAGAGGAGAGUGGAAUUCCUGGUGUAGCGGUGAAAUGCGCAGAUAUCAGGAAGAACACCCGUGGCGAAGGCGGCUCUCUGGGACGGUACUGACGCUGAGACGCGAAAGCGUGGGGAGCGAACAGG